rnacentral:lncRNA from 1 species
GGGAGCCGGGAGAGGGGGAGGGGUCGGAGGCCACGGGUCCAGAAACCGUUACUGGGAAGGCAAGUGGGCUGCGGCAGCCCUGGGCUGGGUGGGGCCGGGGUGGUCGAACCCGAGACCCGCGUGGGAGUUGAGGGGCGCGAGGCUGGUGUCCUGGUUCGCGGGAGCCAGCGGAGCAGGGGCCCGGGAAGGGGCGCGCGAGCCCGGGGGACGGUAACCGCUGCUGCACGGGGAUUGCUCCGGGCCCUCUCAGAGCCUUCUCCCUCAAGGGCGCUCUCAGGGAUCCACCAGAGCCCUAAAAACCGAAGCCUCUGGAACCUAUAUCCUCCCUCUGUCCGUCUCGCCCCAGAAUCUUCCCUGCGUCCUCCUCGCCCCCUCCCUCCUGCAGAUAUUUCUCUUACCACCUGGGCAGCUGGGCAGUUGCCCCACCGUUUUGAGCAAAGUGGAGCUAUGAAGCCAGAAACCUACAAGGAUGUCCUGCUGGAGCUUGGCUUCAACCAGGAUUACUUGUCCAUGUCUGGAGAUGGUAGAAGCCACUUUUCGGGAAGAGGCUUGAGCAAUGGAAACCCGAUCAAGGCCAAAGGGCCCACAGUAACCAGCCCCUCUCCAGCUGAAUACAGACAGGCCCAUCAGGUGACCCACCCAAAAUAUCCACAGGCCAAUUACCAAUGGGCUACUUACAACCAGGCACGGGCCCAGAAAAGGAGUAUCCCGUAA